rnacentral:rRNA from 1 species
AUUGAACGCUGGCGGCAUGCCUUACACAUGCAAGUCGAACGGUAACAGGUCUUCGGAUGCUGACGAGUGGCGAACGGGUGAGUAAUACAUCGGAACGUGCCCGAUCGUGGGGGAUAACGCAGCGAAAGCUGUGCUAAUACCGCAUACGAUCUACGGAUGAAAGCGGGGGAUCUUCGGACCUCGCGCGGACGGAGCGGCCGAUGGCAGAUUAGGUAGUUGGUGGGGUAAAGGCUUACCAAGCCUACGAUCUGUAGCUGGUCUGAGAGGACGACCAGCCACACUGGGACUGAGACACGGCCCAGACUCCUACGGGAGGCAGCAGUGGGGAAUUUUGGACAAUGGGCGAAAGCCUGAUCCAGCAAUGCCGCGUGCAGGAAGAAGGCCUUCGGGUUGUAAACUGCUUUUGUACGGAACGAAAAGGAUCUCUCUAAUACAGGGGUCUGAUGACGGUACCGUAAGAAUAAGCACCGGCUAACUACGUGCCAGCCGCCGCCGUAAAAC